rnacentral:rRNA from 1 species
UACGGAGGGUGCGAGCGUUAAUCGGAAUAACUGGGCGUAAAGGGCACGCAGGCGGGUUGUUAAGUCAGAUGUGAAAUCCCCGGGCUCAACCUGGGAACUGCAUUUGAUACUGGCAAGCUUGAGUAUCGUAGGGGGGGGUAGAAUUCCAGGUGUAGCGGUGAAAUGCGUAGAGAUCUGGAGGAAUACCGGUGGCGAAGGCGGCCCCCUGGACGUAGACUGACGCUCAGGUGCGAAAGCGUGGGGAGCAAACAGG